UACAGAGGGUGCGAGCGUUGUUCGGAAUUAUUGGGCGUAAAGCGCUGGUAGGUGGCUUGUUAAGUCGCGUGUGAAAGCUCCAGGCUCAACCUGGAAAGUGCGCGCGAAACUGGCGAGCUUGAGUGUCGGAGAGGAUCGCGGAAUUCCGGGUGUAGAGGUGAAAAUUCGUAGAUAUCCGGAGGAACACCGGAGGCGAAGGCGGCGAUCUGGAAGACCACUGACACUGAGCAGCGAAAGCGUGGGGAGCAAACAGG
rnacentral:rRNA from 1 species